UAGGGAAUCUUCCACAAUGGACGCAAGUCUGAUGGAGCAACGCCGCGUGAGUGAAGAAGGGUUUCGGCUCGUAAAGCUCUGUUGUUAAAGAAGAACGUGGGUGAGAGUAACUGUUCACCCAGUGACGGUAUUUAACCAGAAAGCCACGGCUAACUACGUG
rnacentral:rRNA from 1 species